rnacentral:tRNA from 1 species
GGCGUCUUGCCCAAGCGGUAAGGGAGCGGUCUGCAAAACCGUUAUGCGGCGGUUCGAUUCCGCCAGACGCCU